rnacentral:tRNA from 1 species
GGUCUUAUAGUUUAAUAAAAUACCAGACUGCAAUUCUGGAGAUAUAGAAAUAUUAAGACUU